AUUACUGGGGCCAAGGAACCAUGGUGACCGUCUCUUCAGCAACCCCCUCGGCUCCAAACCUCUUCCCACUUGUCUCCUGUGGAAGCAUCCUGCCCGAGCAAAACACGGUGGCCAUGGGCUGCCUUGCACGUGACUUCCUGCCAAGCUCCGUCACCUUCAGCUGGAGAUACAAGAACAACACUGAUGUCAACGCCCAGAAAUGGAAGGCCUUCCCAUCCGUCAUGCAGGAGGGCACAUAUUUGGCCAGUUCUCAGUUGCUUCUCCCUUCUGAAGAUAUCCUCCAGAGCUCUGAUGAGUACCUGGUGUGUGCAGCCACGCAUCCCCAAGGCAACAAGGAAGUACAGGUGGCCUAUCACGCGCCUGUGGAAGAGAAGUCCCCCAAUGUGAAUGUGUAUGUCCCAUCCCGAGAGUCCUUCUCAGACACCAGCAAGCGGACCUCCAAGCUCAUCUGCCAGGCCACAGGCUUCAGUCCCAAGGAGAUCUCACUGUCCUGGAUCCGAGAGGGGAAGCCAGUGCAGUCUGGCAUCAACACAGGAGCAGUGGAGCCGGAGCCCAAAGGGUCUGGGUCAUUGACCUACCAGAUCACCAGCACAAUGACCAUCAGCGAGAGCGACUGGCUCAGCCAGCGUGUGUUCACUUGCCACGUGAUACACAGGGGGCUGGACUUUAUGAAGAAUGUGUCCUCUGUGUGCGGACCCAGCUCACCAUCAACCAUGCGGAUCUUUACCAUCCCCCCUUCCUUUGAGGACAUCUUCAUUACCAAGUCUGCCAAGUUGACUUGCCUGGUCACAGACCUGGCCACCUACGACAGCCUGAGCAUCACUUGGACGCGCCAGAAUGGCAAGGUUCUGAAGACCCACACCAACAUUUCUGAGAGCUAUCCCAAUGCCACCUUCAGUGCUCAGGGCGAGACCAACGUCUACGUGGAUGACUGGGAGACCGGAGAGAAGUUCACUUGCACCGUCACCCACACCGACCUCCCCUCACCGCUGAAAAAGUCCAUUUUCAAGCCUGAGAACGGGGUCAAGCGGGCACCAUCUGUCUACCUGACCACACCGACCCGGGAGGAGCUGAGCUUGCGUGAAUCUGCCUCCCUCACCUGUCUGGUCAAGGGCUUCUCCCCUGCAGAUGCGUUUGUGAGGUGGAUGCACAAGGGACAGCCUGUGCCCCGCCAUCAGUACAUCACCAGUGCCCCAAUCCUGGAACCCCAGGCCGUGGACUCCUACUUCCUCUCCAGCAUCCUCACAGUGUCUGAGGAGGACUGGAGCGCUGGCGAUGUAUUCACCUGCGUCGUCGGCCACGAGGCCCUGCCUCACCUGGUGACCGAGAGGAGCGUGGACAAGUCCACCGUGGGGGAAGUGAAUGCUGAGGAGGAGGGCUUCGAGAACCUUUGGGCCAUGGCCUCCACCUUCAUCGUCCUCUUCCUUCUGAGUCUCUUCUACAGCACCACGGUCACCCUGUUCAAGGUGAAGUGACCAUCAGGUGAAGGAUGCUGGAGACAUGACAUGAGACCAGGCCACCACCACGUGCAUUCCGUGGGCAUUUGUACCGUGCCCCACCCCCCUUGGCUUUGAUCUCUGAGAAACAGGCUUCUUUGUAGACGUGUGUGCUGAACCUAGGGCCACAGAGCUAGUCCCAAGUGCUGCUUUGUUGUGUAUGCACUUGUGGCUGUGAAAUAAAUAUGUACAUAUCCUCCUUAAA